UAAAGAUGAGGGAUUGAAUUGUGUGAUAAAACUGAUAGAAAAUAACAAGAGGUUCUCUAAGACCGGAAAUGCACCUCCACCUUCCCUCUAGUCCUUCCCCUCUAGACGGUCGCCUUGCUGCGGCCACCAUCGCACAGCGUGCGCCCAGCAGCUCUUUCCUCCGUGUGCUUUCUGAAGAGAGAGGGCCCCUGCGCCUCUGAAAUGUAUGCAGAGGCAGCCGGUUCAUUCUGUGUGUGCAUCUUUCUGAGGGAAUUGCAUCCAUGACCCUCCUCACUUAUCAGAAUGGUCCAUGACUCCAAACGCAUUAAGUACCAAUGAAUUAAAGUGUCACCAAAUAAAAUAUAUUGGCAACACUCCCACAUGUGGAAAGAAUGUAACCUAAUGGUUUUGAGUAUGAUGAUGUAGUAAUAUUGACAGUGCACUGGGAAAUCUUUCUCUCUGGUUAAUGGAUACAAGAUAGCCCAGGACUGGAGAAUUUCCAGAAGAGACUGACUGUACUGGAAACUGAGAGGACUGGGGUUCUGGUCCCAUCGUGGCAGAUCGCAUCUCCAGCCCUAGAGGGACGUGUCGUGUUUGCGUUCUUCUUUUUUUCGAGUCUUGUCAUCAGGGAGUCUGAGAGAUGCAACAGAUGCUGUCUUGUUGGGAAAGGAAGAGGCCUGCUUCAGAGCUCCACCUGACCGUUUCACGGAAGAGCAGAGACAGGAGGGGCAGUCUAACCAUGUGUUCCCAUCGCGGAGGUGGGCUUGUACCACGUUCCAGCACUGGAAGCAUAACCUGGAGUCAGGCUGCCGGGCUUGGAGCCCGGUCCGUGAGUAGUAGCUCAGGCCAGAAGUCCAAGAUCAAGGAUGUAGCUGGUGCAGCGUCUGGUGAGAGCUCUCCCCCUGGCCUGGGGAUGCUGCCUUCUCCCUGCAUCCUCGCACGGCUUCUCCUCGACGCGGCAAUGGGAAAUUCAGAAAGAAGAUGACUGUUAGGUUUCCACACUCCCCCACUUUCAUUUAAAAAUGCAUGGCUAUCAUGCACUUAUUUUAUA